rnacentral:rRNA from 1 species
AUACGGAGGAUGCAAGCGUUAUCCGGAUUUAUUGGGUUUAAAGGGUGCGUAGGCGGGACUGUAAGUCAGGGGUGAAAUACUGCAGCUUAACUGUAGCAUUGCCUUUGAAACUGCCGUUCUUGAGUACAGUUGAGGUAGGCGGAAUGUGGUGUGUAGCGGUGAAAUGCAUAGAUAUACCACAGAACGCCGAUUGCGAAGGCAGCUUACUAAGCUGUUACUGACGCUGAGGCACGAAAGCGUGGGGAUCAAACAGGAUUAGAUACCCUGGUAGUCCACGCUGUAAACGAUGAUUACUGGUUGUUAGCGAUAUAUAGCUAGUGACUGAGCGAAAGCAUUAAGUAAUCCUCCUGGGGAGUACGUCGGCAACGAUGAAACUCAAAUGAAUUGACGGGG